GUCAAGUUCUGGUUUCAAAACAAGAGGACUCAAACAAGGGCUCAAAGUGAGCGAGCAGACAACUCGGCUCUCCGGGAA